AUUGAACGCUGGCGGCAGGCCUAACACAUGCAAGUCGAGCGGAUGAAGGGAGCUUGCUCCUGGAUUCAGCGGCGGACGGGUGAGUAAUGCCUAGGAAUCUGCCUGGUAGUGGGGGAUAACGUCCGGAAACGGGCGCUAAUACCGCAUACGUCCUGAGGGAGAAAGUGGGGGAUCUUCGGACCUCACGCUAUCAGAUGAGCCUAGGUCGGAUUAGCUAGUUGGUGGGGUAAAGGCCUACCAAGGCGACGAUCCGUAACUGGUCUGAGAGGAUGAUCAGUCACACUGGAACUGAGACACGGUCCAGACUCCUACGGGAGGCAGCAGUGGGGAAUGUUGGACAAUGGGCGAAAGCCUGAUCCAGCCAUGCCGCGUGGGUGAAGAAGGUCUUCGGAUUGUAAAGCACUUUAAGUUGGGAGGAAGGGCAGUAAGUUAAUACCUUGCUGUUUUGACGUUACCAACAGAAUAAGCACCGGCUAACUUCGUG
rnacentral:rRNA from 1 species